rnacentral:lncRNA from 1 species
AAGUGCCACAAAAGAGGAUGUGUCAAAUAUAAAGUGUGGCCAGAUGCCCUAGAAUAAAAUAUUCACCAAAAAUGAUCUGCCCCAAACUUACUGCUUUGAAAACCAACAGGUGUCAACCAAUUCAUAACUUCAGAGGGGAACCCAGAACUGCUGGCAAAAGGCCCUCUACCUUUAGAUUCACGAUUUGUCCCAACUGGGGUCCCCUGCAGCUUCAGAACUGGCACACCAGGCGAUGGCUCUGUAGCAAAAGGCUUUUUCAAACUGCAUCUUUUUUUCAGCAGUUAAAUCUGAGCUGUAACAUUUGGCAGGUUUCCUUGCUAACAUUUGGCAAUAAUUGUUUAUCAAAUGCUAACAAGGAAUGCUGCCAAAUGUAACAGCUCUGACUGAACCAUCUCAAAUAUAAUAUUGAGGCAAAACUCUACAGACAUGUGCUCAAUCCUUUCUGACUAAUCCUAGAAAUAGGAUCCUGUGCCCUUGGUCAUCAGACCGUGCUGCACCACAGCAGGGAUGCACAAAGGACCACAUUCUCUUUCCUCUGCGCAGUGUAUUAUUUGCCUUGAUUCUCUGGGAGCUCAUGAGAGAGAGAGAUGCCUGAUAAACACAGAGAUGGAAAUUCACAACAGGCUGGAGACCACAUGCAUUAUAACUUCAUCAAUUUGGAUGCAAAUUGGUGGAAGAUCAGGCAGCAAAACCAAGGCCGAAUUUGCCUUUGAUGGGCCAGUCAGUUUUCAAUCAUCCUGGUUCCCCUGACUGGUCCUGGUUAUCCCUUGGAAGGCUCAUGCUUGUGCCCAGCUGCUCCUUUGCUUCUAGGUCUCCGUGCAGUAGCUCUAACCUGCUGCAGGUUAACCUGUGCAGCAGCUCUAACCUGCCUUGCCUUUGCUGAUCCAGAUGUGUAAAGGUCCAGCUUAAAUUCCACCUCCUCUGGAAGCCUUCCUACUCCACCUUCCCACUUCAUUCUUUGCUUGCACUCUCUUUUACUCCCAUUUUAAACCUUUAUUGCCCGAACCUUAUUUGGCACGAAUAUUUUUCCCCAUUACUACCAUGUUCGGCAGGUAGUUCAAGUAUCUUAACUUACCUUCCCCAGGCAGCCGGCCGACCAACCCCUUGAGGGCAGGGUCUGACAGCCUCACUCUCGCAACACUGCUAACAUGGAGCUGUAUCAAACCCUGUCCUUAAUGACUCUAGCUGGUCUUAGACUCCAAGUUAUAGAACAAAUGCUUUUCAAGUGGUUUGGAACUACUCAUUUACAUCCCAAUAUCUUGAUAUGCUAACUCUAAAGCAUGCUUAGCUAUUCAUCCAAAUAGAUCUUUUUUGGAAACUUCCACAGGUAAUUUUAGCUUAUGUUAGCUAAAAUUAGGUAGCUAGGUAUAUUUGAAAGGAAUCAAACUGCUUUGCUUCAGAAGAAUUCUGUGAUUCAAACUUUUAAACAUUCAGGAAGAUUUUAUUGCUGCUUUGCUAGGCUCUUGGAAUACAAAAGUAGGAGAGACACUGCCCUCUCUUUUGCUGCUCUACUCCCAUCCUCUCAAAAAACAUGCUUGACAAUGUCAAAAUAUUACUUUAAUAAUAAAAAAUUAGCUGAGCAACAGAAAUAACUCAUCCUUCGAUAGAAAUAAAUAACACAUCCUUCACAUUUAGGGAUGAAAAAUUUCAUUUAUGAUUCCCCCCUAAGGACUCUUAAGACUAUUUUCCCUUUUCAUACAAAUACACAAUGACAUCAGACAUACACAUAAGUCAUGCAGUAUUACGAACCAAAAAAAGGUUAGAAAUUAGCCCAUGCGGUAGGUAGUUAUAACAAGCAAAAUUAAAGUUCUCAUUUCAACUAUAGACCUAGGACAAAAAUAUUUCCAAUGCAAAAUUUUGCUACUGCAGAAAAGCCCCCAGACUCUAAGCACUCCGUGCUUUGCCAUCUAAUAACUGAGUCAUUAGAUAAUUCCUUUUAAGUUCUCAGAUAUUUGGAUCCUUCUCUGAUGUAAGUCAAAGCCCGAUAUGCUUUCAAAUUCUACAUAUAAGACCAACAAACACCUUACUGAGGAAAAUGGGGAAGAUGACAAAUUAUAACCAAUUUAAGCAUCCACUAAGGGCACACACCAAUAAUUUUUAAGUCCUAGGUCUUUCACUUAAAUGUGUAUUUCCCCUCCAGUCGUAAAUUAUGCCCAAGGGUAAGAAUAGUUUGCCCCUCAUCUAGUUAGAGGAGACACAGGUAGAGUUUCCCUCAUAAUGUUCCAGAAGGUUGUUGGAUGUAAGUCACCCAGAGCUGCCAGCCACAUGGACACCUGCCCUAUGCCUUCUGCAACCCUAAAGCUCAAUGAGAAGGACCCAAUAUAGAAAAGGUAAUCGGGCAGAAAGGCGAAACCUCACACAAAGAUUUUCAGGCCAAUUCGGGCAGGUCUGUUUGGAUCAGGGCAAACUUAGAACAAUUCCUAAUCCUGUCAAGGCCUGGACCCCCUCACAAGGUGUGCGGAUCAAAUCUUUUUAGCGCCUCUCUAAGCUAUGCGUUCCUCGUGAACCCCAACAAAGUCAGUUACCGUGCAGGUUACAGGAAGCCGUUUCUGGCUGAGGAGGGUGGCAUCUGUGUUUGCCAGAGGACACUUGGGAAUGUGCCUUUUUUGCUAUCGAAAGAGGCCAUCACAGCUCACAGAACGCCUCUGCUCAGAAGAGUACCCCCUCAUUACUUUUUCAACAGAUGUCUUACUGAAGCAUAUUUUACUAUUUAUGUUAGCCUCCUGUAAAACAUCUGAGAAAACUCAGAAUAACAAUGAAAAAUGAUUGUGUUCACAAAAUCAAGUAAAUCCAAUAAUAUUUCUGACAGAAUUGAUUACAAUAAUGUCAAACGCCCCUCUCUGCUCUCUUUGAAAGUUAUUUCAAACAUAAAGAUAAUGAAAUAUGUUGCCUGUCACUUGUAAAUUGUGUGCUGAAAAUCUAAAGAGAUAAUUUAAAGAUUUCCAGGUAGAACAACAGGCUGGCUUUAUUGUAUGUGUCAAGGAGAUAUAUUAGUGAGGCACUUUCUGCUCUGAAAGUUGGGCACCCCCAAAAGAGGACCCGACAUUUGAACUACAAAUACGAAUGUCUUCCUGGGUCAUAAGUGCUGAAGUGGAGAAGCUUCUUCACACAUGGAGUGGACAGGGAGGGGGACAAAUAUUUAGCUAACAUUUCCAUAAAAAUUAUUGUUGUUGUUUUAUGGUGGCAUAUAGCACACUGGUUGAGAGCAUGAAUGCUCAGCCUUAAAAACCUGGGCUCAGAUUUCUAAGCUCCUCACUCACUAGCCGUGAGAACUGAGAAAGUCACUUAACCUCAUGGAGCUUCCAUUUUCUCCUCUGUUAAAAGAAACAAUAAUCAUUAUGGCAUUGUGGAUUAAGUGGAUAAAAUGUAUGUAAUACGUGUAAAUUACUUUCACGACAUGCAGCAGACAGGAAUCAUUCAGUAAGGAUACGUAUUACUAUUACCGAAUGCUCAGAUAGCUGCUAUUACCAGGUAUGGUUCUCUAAACAUAUUCUUCCAACUCUCUUUGCUGCUUAUCCUCAGGGACUAUUACUUUAAUCUCAUAAGGACAGAAUACUUCUCACAGUCUGGAGCCCUUCCACUUUGAUCCCUCACUGAACUCUGUGAAAAAGAGCUUAUUAUCUACCUCCUCAUUUCCAUCUUCCCCCCUACAUGUAAAUUCCGCAUAGGUUAUGCUCUGAUUAUCACUGGCCCCUCCAAGUAUUUGCCACAUAGCAAGCGCUCGACACAUAGGAGUUAAAUAAAUGAAUGCACCAUCAUGCUUUUUACCCGGAUAAGGAAACUGAGGCUCUGAAUAAAUUAACACAUGGCUUAAUAAAUUUCAGUGAGGAAGUGGGGGAGCUAAGAUGUGAAUCCUGGUCAGAUGCAGAGCUCCCAUUCACUUCCCUGCACUGAGCUGCCUUGUGGAGCCUAGAGCCACAGGGGGUAGAGUUCUAGAAACCUAACUCAUAGUUUUUCCUAACAAUUUUUCAAAGCGCACUUCCCUUCUGCAAUAUCCUUAAUGGAAUAUCAAAGGGGGAAACUCGUAAAUCUCAGCUAGCGGAGCUCUUUUGUACACCAACCACCGACAUUCAAGCAGUUAGGCAAUUAUUACUGCUGGAAGCCCAAAGGGCAACCUGCAUGUUACCAGGGCCUCCAUCUCCAGUGAAUUUACCACCAGGGACAAUAAAAAAAGGAAAGCAGUCAAAUGGUAAAAUAAGUGUCUGGUGGUUAAAUGUCACAAUAACAGAUUUCUACAGCUUAAUUUUUGUUGGGGGUGAAAGGGAAUGCUCCUUGGGAAACAGUAGGGGAACAGCUGGUAGGAAAGCCAGUUGAUGCUUGUAUAUUGUACUGUCAUCAGUCAAAGACACUGCCUUGAUCUGAUUGAAAAGGUAUUUGAUUGCAUAACUCUUGCAGAUACAUCAAACAAGAUCUUCACUUUCACAGCUUCAUCUCUGGUUAGUUACAUAAGAGCACAUAUUUGAUAGAGCUAAAACAUGCUUCUCAUUGUCGCUGCAUGUGGACUAUCUUGCUGGAUAUUCCUAACAUCCCCACAUAGGCAGAGAGACGUAUUAUUUCCCCCCCCUCCCAUUUUCCAGAUGAUAUUGGAAGAAAAAGCUAAGAGAUUUCCUCCAGAUCACACCGUGACUGGGAUCCAUCUCUUGACUUAUAGUCUUGUGCCCCUUCUUAGCCCAUUCAAGUCAAGUUUAUACACGUAAGAUUAGCAGCUCUGCUUAAAUUUGACUUGUGUCUAAGCCAUUUCUAAUUUUUAAUAAAAUUUUAUAGAUUUUUUUAAAGAAAAACACAACACCGAGAACACUUUGGGGUCAGUCUCCAAAUCUGAUUAGCAUCCCCAAAUGAAUACUCAGACUUAUUUCAUAGCCCAGCCUUAACUGUAUUUACCUUUUUUAGAGCCAGAGUGUCAACAUCACUCAGGUUGCUGACGUGUGGGGUCUGCCGUGAAAGCGCAAUGGACCCGUGGGGGAUGGAGUGGUCUGACCUGCUAUUUAUUAGGCAACUACAGCAUUUUGACAUUGACCAGACCAUAUAAAAUAAUUCCAAAGAGAACACUGGUUUCAUUUUUUGUUUGUUUGUUUGUUUCUGGCUCUUUGCAACUUAAAUAUAGGCAGGGGCUUCUUAGAGAAAUACCUGGUUUGUCAAUAUAGCUGUAAUUCAUAAUCAAAAAGACAACACAAUUAAUGCUUGUAAAUUUUAUUUUUAAAAAUCUUUUAAACUUUUCUAUGGGAAUACUUUUUUAUUUUUUAAUUUGCUUUACUUAUGGCCACAGUGGAAGUGCCCGGCCAGGGAUCAAACCCACACCACAGUAGCAACCCAAGCUGCUACAGGGACACCACCAGACCCUUAACCCACUGUGCCACCAGGGAACUCCACGCUUGUGAAUUUUAAAAUACCACAAUGCAAUGCCUGUGAAAUAGAGUUAAGUAGCUCACCUCUCUGACAAAGCAGAGUUCUGUUUGAACCUCUCUGUUCCAUUCAGAAUCGGACAGCAUCUGUUGAUAUAACCCUUCCCUGGGCAGCCAAUACUUGGGGCUAGGCAUUAACCUCACUCUUUGGGAAACAAGGUUAGAGUCCCGGCCUGAAAAACUGCAGUGACAUCGAGGAGAAAACACUGAAACAGAGUACACGUAAACGUGCUCAAGAGAGGAUCCAUUUGAUGAAAUGUCUAGAAUGCUGCUUCGCUCCUGGUUCCGUUCUCUGCCCCCACAAAGGAGUUUAGUAUUUCCCAGCACCUUCUGUUAAUAAGCCUUGCCUUUCUUGCAACCUAUAAGUCUUUUAGGAAGCCAGUGUAAUCCAGAGGAAAGAUCCUGAGUUCUAGGGCUCAACAGCUUUAGGUUUAAAUCUUAGAUUUUCCUUGGAGUUCUCAUCAUGGCUCAGUGGCAAUGAACCCAACUAGUAUCCUUGAGGAUAUGGGUUCAAUCCCUGGCCUCGCUCAGCAGGUUAAGAAUCCAGCAUGGCUAUGCGCUGUGGUGUAGCUUGCAGACGUGGCUCAGAUCCCACAUUGCUGUGGCUGUGGUGUAGACUUGCAGCUACAGCUCCAAUUCGACCCCUAGCCUGGGAAGUUCCAUAUGCUGCGGGUG